rnacentral:rRNA from 1 species
AGAGUUUGAUCCUGGCUCAGGACGAACGCUGGCGGCGUGCUUAACACAUGCAAGUGGAGCGACGAACCGGGCUUCGGCCCGGGGCAAAGCCGCGAACGGGUGAGUAACACGUGGGUAACCCACCCCGAUGACCGGGACAACCCGAGGAAACUCGGGCUAAUACCGGAUGAGCUCCUCCCCCUUGAGGGAGAGGAGGAAAGAUAGCUUCGGCCUUCGCAUCGGGAGGGGCCCGCGGCCCAUUAGCUUGUUGGUGAGGUAACGGCUCACCAAGGCUGCGAUGGGUAGCUGGUCUGAGAGGACGAUCAGCCACACUGGGACUGAGACACGGCCCAGACUCCUACGGGAGGCAGCAGUGGGGAAUCUUGCGCAAUGCGCGAAAGCGUGACGCAGCAACGCCGCGUGGGGGAAGAAGGCCUUCGGGUCGUAAACCCCUUUCAGGAGGGACGAAGCCUCGGGAGUGAAUAGCUCUCCGGGGUGACGGUACCUCACGAAGAAGCCCCGGCUAACUACGUGCCAGCCGCCGCGGUAAUACA